rnacentral:rRNA from 1 species
GAUGAACGCUGGCGGCGUGCCUAAUACAUGCAAGUCGAGCGAACAGAUGAGGAGCUUGCUCCUCUGACGUUAGCGGCGGACGGGUGAGUAACACGUGGAUAACCUACCUAUAAGACUGGGAUAACUUCGGGAAACCGGAGCUAAUACCGGAUAAUAUAUUGAACCGCAUGGUUCAAUAGGGAAAGACGGUUUUGCUGUCACUUAUAGAUGGAUCCGCGCCGCAUUAGCUAGUUGGUAAGGUAACGGCUUACCAAGGCAACGAUGCGUAGCCGACCUGAGAGGGUGAUCGGCCACACUGGAACUGAGACACGGUCCAGACUCCUACGGGAGGCAGCAGUAGGGAAUCUUCCGCAAUGGGCGAAAGCCUGACGGAGCAACGCCGCGUGAGUGAUGAAGGUCUUCGGAUCGUAAAACUCUGUUAUUAGGGAAGAACAAAUGUGUAAGUAACUAUGCACGUCUUGACGGUACCUAAUCAGAAAGCCACGGCUAACUACGUG